CCUGCAGGCGGUCUCGUAAGUGGGGUGUGAAAUCUCCCGGCUUAACUGGGAGGGGCCAUUCCAUACUGCGGGACUCGAGGGCAGAAGAGGGAAGCGGAAUUCCCGGUGUAGUGGUGAAAUGCGUAGAUAUCGGGAGGAACACCAGUGGCGAAGGCGGCUUCCUGGCCUGCUCCUGACGCUAAGAGGCGAAAGCUAGGGGAGCGAACGGGAUUAGGAACCCCGGUAGUCCUAGCCGUAAACGAUGGAUACUGGGUGUCGGUGGUCCUAACCCCAUCGGUGCCGAAGCAAACGCGUUAAGUAUCCCGCCUGGGGACUACGGCCGCAAGGUUAAA
rnacentral:rRNA from 1 species